rnacentral:misc_RNA from 1 species
GCUUCUGUGUUCGCGUCAAAAGUUCUUCAUAUGGGUCUUCAAUAAUUUAGAUAUUUUCUCCUCAACUUGAAACUUUGACAUUCAUCAUACACAUUUGUGUGCAUGUGGUUACAUGUGCGUAGAUGUGUUAUCUAUCUUGUUUUGUUAAUGCUGAGGAAACUUUCAAUUGUUCUGUCAAUGUUGAAGUAUUUUUAAAAUUCUUUAGAUGGUGAAUUUUCAUAUAGCGGUUGUCCCAUCUUGGGAUAGUUUAUUGGUAUGUGUGCAAUACAUACAACUUAUGUGGCUUCAUUAUAUUCAACAAUGUUAG